CACGACGUGAACCAGAGUAGCAAG
rnacentral:piRNA from 1 species